UACAGUGGUCCCAAGCGUUGUUCGGAUUCAUUGGGCGUAAAGGGUGCGUAGGUGGCAUGGUAAGUCGGGUGUGAAAUCCCGGGGCUCAACCCCGGAACUGCACUCGAUACUACCGUGCUCGAGUACUGGAGAGGAGACUGGAAUUUACGGUGUAGCAGUGAAAUGCGUAGAUAUCGUAAGGAAGACCGGUGGCGAAGGCUAGUCUCUGGACAGUUACUGACACUGAGGCACGAAGGCCAGGGGAGCAAACGGG
rnacentral:rRNA from 1 species